rnacentral:pre_miRNA from 1 species
GUGCAUUGUAGUUGCAUUGCAUGUGUGGCCAAGCUGUGCAAUGCCCCUCCAGUGCAGCC